CGAUUUCUGGUUGAUCCUGCCGGCGGCCACCGCUAUAGGAAUUCGAUUAAGACAUGCGAGUCGAGAGUCGCAACAGACUCGGCGACUGCUCAGUAACACGUGGAGAACGUGCCCUUAAGCGGGGGAUAAUCUCGGGAAAUUGAGGAUAAUACCCCAUAGGUCAUGGGACCUGGAAUGGCCCAAGGCCGAAAGCUCCGGCGCUUAAGGAUCGCUCUGCGGCCUAUCAGGUAGUAGUGGGUGUAAGGUACCCCCUAGCCGACGACGGGUAUGGGCCUUGAGAGAGGGAGCCCAGAGUUGGAUUCUGAGACACGAAUCCAGGCCCUACGGGGCGCAGCAGUCGCGAAAACUUCACAAUGGGGGCAACCCCGAUGAGGGGAUUCCUAGUGCCAGGGCGUUUAGCUCUGGCUUUUCCCAGGCGCAGACGACCUGGGGAAUAAGGGCUGGGUAAGACGGGUGCCAGCCGCCGCGGUAAUACCUGCAGCCCGAGUGGUGGUCGAUUUUAUUGAGUCUAAAACGUUCGUAGCCGGCCCGGUAAAUCCCUGGGUAA
rnacentral:rRNA from 1 species